rnacentral:rRNA from 1 species
AGAGUGGCGAACGGGUGAGUAACGCGUGUGAACGAGCUUUGACAGGGGAUACACUCCCAACGGGGUGCUAAUACGCAUGAGACCACGGGAUCGCAUGAUCCUGAGGUCAAAGAUGGCCUCUAUUUAUAAGCUAUCGGUCGAAGAUGGCCUCGCGUCCCAUUAGCUUGUUGGCGGUGUAAAAGACCACCAAGGCGACGAUGGGUAGCUGGUCUGAGAGGAUGGUCAGCCACACUGGGACUGAGAUACGGCCAGACUCCUACGGGAGGCAGCAGUCGAGAGGCUUCGGCAAUGGGGGAAACCCUGACCGAGCGACGCCGCGUGGAGGAUGAAGGCCCUUGGGUUGUAAACUCCUUUUAUUCGGGAAGAAGUGCGAUCAGGUGAAUAAUCUGGUCGUUUGACGGUACCGGAUGAAUAAGCUCCGGCUAACUCCGUGCCAGCAGCCGCGGUAAUACGGGGGGAGCAAGCGUUGUUCGGAAUCACUGGGCGUAAAAGGGCGUUGUNAGGGCGGUCAAAGUAAGUGGGGAUUGUGGAAAUGGCCCCCGGCUCAACCCGGGGGGACCCUGGCAUUCCCCAAAAAUUGGUUUUGGCUUUGGAAGUAUG